UAAUACAGAGGGUGCAAGCGUUAAUCGGAUUUACUGGGCGUAAAGGGUGCGUAGGUGGUUAUGUAAGUGAGAUGUGAAAUCCCCGGGCUUAACCUGGGAACUGCAUCUUAGACUGCAUGACUGGAGUGCGAUAGAGGGUAGUGGAAUUUCCGGUGUAGCGGUGAAAUGCGUAGAUAUCGGAAGGAACACCAGUGGCGAAGGCGGCUACCUGGAUCGACACUGACACUGAGGCACGAGAGCGUGGGGAGCAAACAGGAUUAGAUACCCUGGUAGUCCACGCUGUAAACGAUGAAGACUAGAUGUUGUUGGGCCUAGACCCAUCAGUAUCGAAGCUAACGCGAUAAGUCUUCCGCCUGGGGAGUACGGUCGCAAGAUUA
rnacentral:rRNA from 1 species